rnacentral:misc_RNA from 1 species
GGAAAUUCAAGAGCAUAAAUCCCACUGUAGAAACACUUGAGAUUGGGUAAACUUCGAAGUUGCAAAGACCUUAAUUGAGGGAACACAAUUUUUUCCUUGCUUGCUUCUUCUUCUUCUUGUUCAUCCUCUUUUGCAACUAUUAUUUCCUCCAACAUAUAGCAUCUCCUUAUGUCUAGUUCUUGGAGUUGUACAAGACACUUAGCCACAGCAACUGAUAAUAUGUUUCUCAAACUGUCGCAUUCAUAAACUUUUAGCUUUCUCAGCUUCUGAAAGCCAAUGACAUUUUUUGGAAUUUUGUUGAAUAUGUGCACAAGUUUUGGUAGAUGUGAUAGACAGACUUCUUCAAGGUGAGAGAGUGUUACUAAAUUUCCAUCAUCAGCAUUCACUCCUUCAAAAUCGAAUAUCUCCAUCAAUGAAUCGCAGUCGUGCACAGAAAGCUUUUCCAACUUUUGAAAACAUUCUAUCAAAGUGUAGGGAAUGAAAUUCACCCAGUCUUGACAGUUUUCAACAUCCAAAACACGUACAUUACUUAAAUCACCAUCUGAUGGUUGGCCAUCCUCUAUCCUUCUCAAAGUAUUCUUGCGACGGAUGAGUAAUCUUGUCAACACCUGUAGUGCUCAUCAUAUCAUAGCCACCAAAUAAACACAAAAAUUCAUUACUAUAAUUGGAGAAUGUGAAAUGCUAUAUACAUAUAUGUGAACUUGAUUCUACAAAAUUAAAACUCAUAGAAAAGGUCUUUGGCCUAGUUGUAAGUAGUGUGGAGACUCUCCUUAUUUUACUUACUAUAAUUUUAUAUAGUGUUGUGUGAAAUUAGCUUUUAAUUAUCUCUAGAUGUAGCCUACUAGAACUACAUUCUAAAAUCCUUACUAUGGGAAAAGCCAAUGUGAUUUUUUCACCAAUCAAUUCUAAUUAUUGAUAAAAAGGGAGUUGACAACUUUUAAUGAGAUUAGAAUUAUAACUAUUUAAUUAAGAGAGUGUUACAUAGUAAAGUUAUUAAGAAACAGAACAUACCGAUUCAUUUACGGUGCAUUUCUC